rnacentral:rRNA from 1 species
AGGCUCACCAAGGCGACCAUGCGUAGCCGACCUGAGAGGGUGAUCGGCCACAUUGGAACUGAGACACGGUCCAGACUCCUACGGGAGGCAGCAGUGGGGAAUAUUGCACAAUGGGCGAAAGCCUGAUGCAGCAACGCCGCGUGAGUGAUGACGGCCUUCGGGUUGUAAAGCUCUGUCUUUGGGGACGAUAAUGACGGUACCCAAGUGAGGAAGCCACGGCUAACUACGUGCCAGCAGCCGCGGUAAUACGUAGGUGGCAAGCGUUGUCCGGAUUUACUGGGCGUAAAUGGUGCGUAAGCAGACCUCUAAGUGAGAUGUGAAAUCCCCGAGCUUAACUUGGGGGCUGCAUUUCAAACUGUGCGUCUAGUGUGCACGACAGGAGAGUGGUAUUCCUAGUGUAGCAGUCCAACUGCUUACAGAUUACGAUCACAUCAUCUGACGAAGCCGACUCUGCUGGACUGUAACUGACGCUGCAGCACGAAGCUUGGGGAGCAACAUGAUGAAUACCAGUGUCACGCCUGAACGAUGAUACUAGUGUAGGGAUGUCAUGAC